rnacentral:lncRNA from 1 species
GGCCGGGUUUGUGUUGCUCUGUUAUUAUAAUGACAUGGUUUAGUUGGGGUUUGUGUUGCUCUGUCAUUAUAAUGACAUGGUUUUAGUUGGGGUUUGUGUUGCUCUGUCAUUAUAAUGACAUGGUUUUAGUUGGAGUUUGUGUUGCUCUGUCAUUAUAAUGACAUGGUUUUAGUUGGGAUUUGUGUUGCUCUGUCAUUAUAAUUUUGUGUUUUGAUUUAUGUACUGUUAUUUGUCUUUUGGUAUUUUUUU